rnacentral:rRNA from 1 species
UGGGGAAUAUUGCACAAUGGGCGCAAGCCUGAUGCAGCAACGCCGCGUGAACGAUGAAGGUCUUCGGAUCGUAAAGUUCUGUUGCAGGGGAAGAUAAUGACGGUACCCUGUGAGGAAGCCCCGGCUAACUACGUGCCAGCAGCCGCGGUAAUACGUAGGGGGCUAGCGUUAUCCGGAUUUACUGGGCGUAAAGGGUGCGUAGGUGGUCCUUCAAGUCGGUGGUUAAAGGCUACGGCUCAACCGUAGUAAGCCGCCGAAACUGGAGGACUUGAGUGCAGGAGAGGAAAGUGGAAUUCCCAGUGUAGCGGUGAAAUGCGUAGAUAUUGGGAGGAACACCAGUAGCGAAGGCGGCUUUUUGGCCUGCAACUGACACUGAGGCGCGAAAGCGUGGGGAGCAAACAGG